UAUUGCACAAUGGGGGGAACCCUGAUGCAGCGACGCCGCGUGGGUGAAGGAGCGUUUCGGCGCGUAAAGCCCUAUCGGCAGGGAAGAAGGAGGACGGUACCUGACUAAGAAGCCCCGGCUAACUACGUGCCAGCAGCCGCGGUAAUACGUAGGGGGCAAGCGUUAUCCGGAUUUACUGGGUGUAAAGGGAGCGUAGGUGGCAGGGCAAGUCAGAUGUGAAAACCCGGGGCUCAACCCCGGGAGUGCAUUUGAAACUGUCCAGCUGGAGUGCAGGAGAGGUAAGCGGAAUUCCUAGUGUAGCGGUGAAAUGCAUAGAUAUUAGGAGGAACACCAGUGGCGAAGGCGGCUUACUGGACUGUAACUGACACUGAGGCUCGAAAGCGUGGGGAGCAAACAGG
rnacentral:rRNA from 1 species